CAGUCGCCGCGGUAAUACGAAGGGGGCUAGCGUUGCUCGGAAUGACUGGGCGUAAAGGGCGCGUAGGCAGAAUGCUUUGUCGGGCGUGAAAUUCCAGGGCUUAACCUUGGGGCUGCGUUCGGGACGGGUAUUCUAGAGUGGAGAAGAGGGUCGUGGAAUUCCCAGUGUAGAGGUGAAAUUCGUAGAGAUCUGGAGGAACAUCAGUGGCGAAGGCGGCUACCUGGAUCAGAACUGACACUGAGGCACAAAAGCGUGGGGAGCAAACAGGAUUAGAUACCCGAGUAGUCCCUGUCUCUUAUAC
rnacentral:rRNA from 1 species